CAUCGUCCGGAUGCCCGCACUGGUGGCAA
rnacentral:sRNA from 1 species